rnacentral:rRNA from 1 species
GUGGGGAAUCUUGCGCAAUGGGCGAAAGCCUGACGCAGCCAUGCCGCGUGAAUGAUGAAGGUCUUAGGAUUGUAAAAUUCUUUCACCGGGGACGAUAAUGACGGUACCCGGAGAAGAAGCUCCGGCUAACUUCGUGCCAGCAGCCGCGGUAAUACGAAGGGGGCUAGCGUUGCUCGGAAUUACUGGGCGUAAAGGGCGCGUAGGCGGACAGCUUAGUCAGAGGUGAAGGCCCAGGGCUGAACCUUGGAAUUGCCUUUGAUACUGGCUGUCUUGAGUUUGGGAGAGGUGAGUGGAACUGCGAGUGUAGAGGUGAAAUUCGUAGAUAUUCGGAAGAACACCAGUGGCGAAGGCGACUCACUGGCCCAAUACUGACGCUGAGGCGCGAAAGCGUGGGGAGCAAACAGGAUUAGAUACCCGGGUAGUCC